rnacentral:rRNA from 1 species
AAAAUAAUUUUAAGUCUAAUCUGCUCAAUGAAUAAUUUUAAAUAGCUGCAGUAUAAAUAACUGUACAAAGGUAGCAUAAUAAUUUGUUUUUUAAUUGAAAACUAGAAUGAAUGAUUAAAUGAAAUAUAAACUAUAUCAAAUUUAAAAAAUAAAUUUAUUAUUUAAAUAAAAAAAUUUAAAUAAUUUUUAAAGACGAGAAGACCCUAAAGAAUUUUAAUAAUAAAUUAUAAUAUAAAUUUAAAAUUUAUUAUAUUAAUUGGGGAAAUUUUAAAAUUUAAAAAAUUUUUAAUUAAAUAAACAUAAAUUUUUGAAUAUUUAAAAUUUUUUUAAAAAAUGAAAUUAAAUUACCUUAGGGAUAACAGCAUAAUUUUUUUAAAAAGUUCAAAUUUAUAAAAAAGUUUAUGACCUCGAUGUUGAAUUAAGAUUAAAUUUAAUAGAAAAUUAUUAAAAAUUUAAGUCUGUUCGACUUUUAAAAUCUUACAUGAU